UAAGGAAUAUUGGUCAAUGGACGCAAGUCUGAACCAGCCAUGCCGCGUGAAGGAUUAAGGUCCCCUGGAUUGUAAACUUCUUUUAUCUGGGACGAAAAAAGGCUUUUCUAAGUCACUUGACGGUACCAGAUGAAUAAGCACCGGCUAACUCCGUGCCAGCAGCCGCGGUAAUACGGAGGGUGCAAGCGUUAUCCGGAUUCACUGGGUUUAAAGGGUGCGUAGGCGGGCAGGUAAGUCAGUGGUGAAAUCCUGGAGCUUAACUCCAGAACUGCCAUUGAUACUAUCUGUCUUGAAUAUUGUGGAGGUAAGCGGAAUAUGUCAUGUAGCGGUGAAAUGCUUAGAUAUGACAUAGAACACCUAUUGCGAAGGCAGCUUACUACGCAUA
rnacentral:rRNA from 1 species